rnacentral:tRNA from 1 species
GCUCUUGUGGUGUAAAUGGUUAACACGUCCAGCUAGCAGCUGGAGAUCCAUUAUUCGAAUCUUGGCGAAAGCA